CACACCUUAUCCCCUUUCUACUCUAGAUCUACCUUUUCUCCUUGAAGCUUCAACUUGUUUGCAUAAUCCACGAACCAGCACAUACCGCUCCUGCAACUGCUAUAUAUACCAGAUCACUACCAUCUUUGUUUUAUUUUGGAUAGAAGCUGAAGUUCAUAGUUUAUAGCAUAUGAUAUACAUCUUUUGAUAAUUCAAUGCUGGAAAUCUUCAGUGAAGAUUUUAUUUAGGCAUAUUUAUCCGCAAUCUCCAAAAGAAGAGCACAGAGUUCUUGAGGCUUGGAGAACAUCGCCAUAUGAUCUGCAUCUUUGAUCUCCAUUACUUCUUUUACUGGGAAGUUCUUGAUCAUCCAGCGCUGGAAAUCCUCGGGUAUCGCAAAGUCCUCUCCGCAGACGAUAUAUAUACGUGUAACGGAUCCGUACCCUUCCUCACUAAAGCUUCUUGUCCCUGCCAGAUUGUCUGUAACGACCGGGUUUACCCUCACCAACAUUUUUGCUAAUUCAAGAUCCUAAUCAGCCACAACAAUAAUCAAUAAAAGACUGAAGUUGCAAGCAAUCAUUUG